rnacentral:rRNA from 1 species
GUAGGUGGCAAGCGUUGUCCGGAAUUAUUGGGCGUAAAGCGCGCGCAGGUGGUUCGUUUAAGUCUGAUGUGAAAGACCCCCGGGCUCAACCGGGGAGGGUCAUUGGAAACUGGGGAACUUGAGUGCAGGAGAGGAAAGUGGAAUUCCACGUGUAGCGGUGAAAUGCGUAGAUAUGUGAAGGAACACCAGUGGCGAAGGCGACUUUCUGGCCUGUAACUGACACUGAGGCGCGAAAGCGUGGGGAGCAAACAGGAUUAGAUACCCUGGUAGUCCACGCCGUAAACGAUGAGUGCUAAGUGUUGGGGGGUUUCCGCCCCUCAGUGCUGCAGCUAACGCAUUAAGCACUCCGCCUGGGGAGUACGGUCGCAAAGACUG